GUCAAUUGUAAAUAACAAGUUCAAUAAAAACAAAAUUGAAUUGAAAUUGAAUUGUUUUAGCCAUUAGCUUUCUAUUUUCCACUCAUCUUUAAUAUUCGAGCAUGGUCUACUGGUUAUUGUAUAUAUAUUUCAAUGGUACUAUCUUAAAGUCGAAUUUUCAGCCCUAUUCUGGCAAACCUCACUGUGUGACUUUUUCGUAUUCUAACGAAAACCUCACAUUCAUAAGAACCUUAUAAGGUGUGGUGAGUUUGAUUUUGUGAGGUUUUUCGAAUUCUGGGGUAACCUCACAACUUGUGAGCCUCAUAAAAAUUGUUAAAAUUGUGAUCUCCUUCAGAACAAGUCACAACUCACAAAUUACUAGAGUUUUGAUAUUUUUUAUUUCCAUAAAAUAUUUUGAUUAAACAAAAAUGGAACUAGACCUUGUUUUUUCGCAUCUUAUUACAGAAAGAAAAUCUAAAUCAAUAAGCAAUUCCAAGAAGAUCACCCCAAGGAAUGUGUCCCAAAUGUCUACCAUUGGAUGUUGGUUGCAUCUGGAGAUAGUUUCUCAGAAGUCAUCGAUGAAUAUUUGCGACAUGGCUUGCGUCGGUGUUACUUUGGACCAGUGGCGUAGAUAGGGGGGGGAUCAGGGGGAUAUAUCCCCCCCAUUGGGAUCGAUAUAAACAGUCAUGAAUAAAUAAGUUGAAGAAGCGCACUUUGAAAAAAAACGCUAUGGAUUUCGAGUUCUUGAUUAGCUUAAAGGUUAUAAAUAUGGUUUACCAACUUUCGUUGCCAUUAAGUCGGUGUUUCAAAGAGUGAAUUUAGACUUGGUCCAAGCAAUGAAGCUCGCUAAAGAUUUAAGGGAUCAACUAAAAAUUAAACGGGCAGACUCAUUUUCGAAAGUUUUUUGUAUAUGGGAAAAAUUAGCUGAAAUCCUUGACAUAGGCGUUAAACAUAAGAGAAUAGUGAAGCGACAAAAGAAUCGUUCGAACCCUUCGGUUCAAAGUACAGUAAAGAAUAUUUUCGUGUUACUGUUUUCAAUCUUUUUCUCGAUUUCGGUUCCUUCUAAGGAUUCUUCGUCUGAAAUAGACAAAGCAGCUAAAAAAUUUAAUGAAACUGUUGAGUUUUACCAAAAACUAGACCACAUAAAAUUGAACAAAAACAAUAAGAUUUUCUUAUAGUUUUCAUCCAAGAAGGAAAUAUUAUUUAAACAAUCGGGAUUUCCUAACUGUUUUACCGACUUCCAAAAAGGAGGAGUUAUUCAAUUCGUCUGUACUUUUUUUUGUGUUUGUCACCUCAUAACUUUGGACCGAGUGAACCAGUUUUGAUAAUUCUUUUUGUAGGUAUUGAAAAGCUGGUGCCUGUUCAGUACUAUUAGAAAAACCAUAAAACCCAGUUUUGAUCCAUGGAAGUCGGUUUUGUUUUUUUAAUAAAAAAAAUACGAUCAUGUACGGAAUCACCUAUUCCAACUUACUAUAGAAAUAUUGGUCACAAUUUUUGUUCUAGUGCCAAGUUGGAAAAAAUAUGAAAUUUUUACAAAAAAUUUUGAAAGAAAAAUACUUCCUCUAUGAACUCAUUGAAAGCGCUCGAAAGCUGCACCGAAAAAAGUUGUCCUGGUAUUUAUAUUUUAUUAAAGAUAUUAGCUACACUGCUGGUUUCUACGUCAACUACCGAAAGAACUUUCUCCAAUUUAAAGAGAAUAAAAACAAUACAAAGAAGCAUUAUUAAAACAUAAAAAAAAAUUUGCGAACUAGAUUUAUCCCCCCCCUUAGCAAAAAGCUAUCUACGCCACUGCUUUGGACAACGAUAUUUUUAAUCACAGCAUAAUGAUUUUAUGCCUAACACCAGGCUUCCAACAAGGCACAGUUGUCACUAAACUACUACUCGAAAUUUAGCCACUGCUUUCAGAAUCUAUCAGAGCUUCUUCAAGAAGGUGUUAAUCCAAAGGACUUGGACAAAAUGAGCAAAACAUUUGGAUUCCCUAUCGGAGCUGCAACCUUAGCUGAUGAAGUUGGUAUCGAUGUUGGAUCCCACACAUCCCACAGAUAUCAAAAGCAUUUGGUGACCGAUUCAGUGGACACAAUGUCAAAGUAAUGGAAGAUCCUAUAUCAAAGCUGAAUUAAUAGGACGUAACCCUUGGAAAGUGCAUUUUGUACAACUGCAAGACUUAGAUUGGAAAAAAGGUCAAUGGUGACAAGAUGGUUGAAAAUAAGAAAUAUUUUUUUUACUUCAGAUAUGAAAUGCAGAAAUCCAUUAAAACAAUUUGAUAAUAUUCUCAUGUAUACUUUUUGAAUAAUUUAAUUUUUUUUGUACCUAGGAAAUUUACGACUAUCGUCCAGUUAACUUUUGAUGUAUAAAUUUCGAUCGAAUUUGGCAGUCUGGAGAGAGCCAUCACACAUUUUUAACCUAGUCUAAGAGUAGAAAUGCCAUUUAGUAUAUGAAGUCUAAUCCGGAGAACACAUUCUAUUUUCAUUAGUUUCUCGAUGCCAAAGAAAUCAUUAACGCUAGAAUUCAUAGACAAAACUAUCGCUGAUAAAGUUGUUUCUCCCCAUAGAACGAAUACAUGUGCAAUGCAUGUGGUUUCUAACAAAAUGUGCAUUAUGCCCGUCGUACACCUAGCGUUCAAUGCAUUCAACGCAAAUUUAAAACCUUAAAUUCUAAUUGAUGGUGCUUUCAAUUAUAUUCAAACAAAGAGUUUUAAACAGUUGGAGAUCGCUACUAAACGAAUUAAUUAAAAAGUAUACGUAUAGUGGCGUCGUUUUUUAUAAUUAAUUUGUUAAAUUCGCGUUGAGUGCGUUGAACGCUAAGUGUACGACGGGCAUUAGCCUUUUAGCAUCUAGGAAAAUGCGGUGUUGCUCUGAAGAAAUGUCAUGGAGUUCAACGACAUUUAGCAGAAGUCAUCAAAGAUCAAUUUGAUUUCCACAUCGCAUUAGAAAGAUGAAUCAAACAAUUGACUUCCUUUUUUAUUUGAAAGUUAAGGCCAAAAAAAUGCAUUUCAUAUUUAUAUAUUUAAUAUCAUCCCAUCAUACAUAUUUACUAAUAGAACAAAUAUAAAUAUUUAAUACCGUCAAAUUGUAUGGUCUACAAUUUAAGUUAACGAAAAACUAUUUGGUGUUUUAUUUUUACAGACUUAUUAAAAGAAUCAAACCUCUUGGGACAACUAAAAGCAACGUCUCGAAGCCGGAUAGACUCAUACUUAUGUCGCUUUGAAUCCGUCCAAAUUCUAUUAUAUUUAUAACCCAAAAUAUGUUUUCCGUGACAUACAUUACAUAUAUUUGCAAUUCCUGAAAAAGAAUAUUACUCAACGCUUAAAGAGAAUAGAAAUCAACAUAUCGUUAUUAGUGAAAACAGAGCACAAAAUUUUCCAUUCCACUAUUUUACUGCUUUGUCACAAAAAGCAUCACAUUAAUCUGGUGUACAACAAACUAUUCUAAGUGCUGGACCUGUUCUUGAAGCUUUUGGUAAUGCUUAAACAGCUCAUAACAAUAACUCCAGUAGAGUUGAAACAUUUAUUGAAGUAGUGCAGUGCAGUGAAGAGCACACAAAAUCCUACCUAGUGUUAUAUGAACAAGUUUUUACAGAGCUUACUCCACAAGUCAAGAAUCUUGGAACGAAUCUAUAGCCGAUGUAGUUUUCCAAACUACAUUUAAUGGUGACUUAUUUAUGUAUAUGCAAACUUUCAAGCACAUAAGGAACGAGUGCAAAACUGAUCUUUUAGUUUGUUAUUCCACAAUUUUUAAAAGGAUUUGAUACAAAACAAAAGAUAAAAAGAUCCAAAUACAUCGGAAAAGAUAAAUAAAACAUAGGGCCAAUGUGGGUAAUUGUAAACAGGGGUAAAUGAAAACAUGGCUCAUAACAACACAGACAAUUAUAUACAGAUAUCGCAUCCCAUAGAAAAAUGAUGUCAUUAAAAUUUUUUCCAGCCGACACGUUUCAGCCGACAAGAGCUUUUUAAAUUGGAAUCAAAAAGGAGAAGAGAAUUUUUCAGCCGACAAAAAAGCUUUUUUUUUAAUUUAAAAAGAGAACAAUAAGAAAGGAUCCCUUACGACCAUGACCUUACUCACUCUCCCGCGAAAAUGAAAAAAGGAGUGCAUGUGGGUAGUUAGAAGUGGUUUCAAUUCGAUUUGACUUUCUAAGCAAUCAGCUGCUGUAAAAUAUUUCAAAUAGGUAUAUAUCGUACAUAGGAUUUCUUAAGGACUUCCCUUCAAGCAAGAAAACGGAGUUCAGAAAAGAAACUCCGACCUCCGACCGAGAAAAGCGGGGUUGCACUCACACACUUGCAACUUUUUGUGUAUGAACACAAAAGUCGAACGAGAAUCGUGGUGAAAAAGUGCGAAAAGGAAAACACCAUAUGAUAGAGAUAAGUGCAACCCCAUUUUGCAAAUUUGUUUAAACGUCAAAAUUAAUAAAACAAUAAAAAAAAAGUAAGUAAGUGAGCGAGUGGAGGAAGCGAAAGGUAAAUCAAAAUAUCGGCAGUGUUAUAAAUUUUGUUCUAGCGUUUUAUUACUAUCAAUAUACUUUCCUACUGAUUCUUAAAUAUAAUAACAAUCAAAUAACAAUUUUUCUAUUCAUAGGCACAUUCUCAAAAACCACCCGGCCACCACUCACAAAGUGGAGGAAAUACUGGACAUCCAUAGGUUCACCAACAACAGCAGCAACAACAAAUUAUAAGAUUUAUUUUAUUUAAUAUUUAUUUUAAUAUUUAAUAUUGUAUUUAUUGUAAUUUCUUUUGCUACAAAAACAUUAAAAUACAAAAAUUUUUUUUAGGUUAGAAAUGUCAAAUAUAUUCGAUACUCGAGUAUCGAUCGAUGUUUAAAUGCCGGACGUCAUUCGUUCCGACUUCGCCUUCG